rnacentral:tRNA from 1 species
GCCGCUAUAGCUCAGUGGCUAGAGCGUUGGUCUGUAAAACCAAAGGUCACAAGUUCAAAUCUUGUUGGCGGCA